UCCAUGAAGGCCCUGGGAGAGCAGGAGAAGCAUUUUUAAAACUUCCUAUUUUCCUAAAAUUAUCUGUCAGACUAGACCUCUCAGUAUUAUGCUAAAGUGGUGUACAUGAUUUUGGGCGUAAGACAGAAAAUUUUGGAGUUCAAUGGCAGUAUGUUCAAAAAGAGUUAUGUCUCUUGCCCUAUCUACCUUGAUUUUUCUGACAAAUGAUAUUUGAAAAUAAUUCUUGCUGUUGCAGCAAGAGAAGUGUGAGCUUGUAGAGCUCUUGAAUCCGAUUUAAAUUAGAUUCCUGUUUGUGUUUCACAAUCAGGAUGUAUUCAUAUAAAUAUGUUGAGUUGGUAUCUGAUGUUAGAAAAUGUUAUUUUCUCCGUUAAUUUACCUUCAGUCCUUAAUCUCCUCUACUUCAGCCUGAAUCAGCUAAAGAUAUAACUCGUGGCAUGCACGUGAAAAGUAAUGAACUUUGUUCUUUUGUAGAAGGUUCACGGAGGGUUUUGCAGUUAUAUUCCUUUGUUCCUUUUUGUAUUGCUUGCAACAGAAGACCACUUUCAGAAACCUAGGGAAUUUUGGUUUUAUCACAUCCUUUUUGUGCUUUUACUUUGACAGACAGCUUUCCCCAAGAGAGAGCAGCAGGGCUGGUGGGAGGACAGCACAAUUGCACAAAGCGAUGAGCAGGGAUGGAGGUUUGGUAGAACAAACUCAUUUUGCUUACAUGUCAGAGGAGGUGUGAGGUGUUCCCGGAGGAAUCAGAUUUUAUGCAAAAGUUGCUGAACUUUCCAUCUUAUGCUCUGAAGUGAGCAAUUUGCCUCAGGGCUACUCUGGAAAAUUUAUCCUGGAACUCUUUAAACAGAUGCUGACUUAACAAACAAACAAACAAACAACAACAACAAAAACUGUAAACUGGGAUUUUUUCCUUACUGUGUUAGGCAAGGCUAAAUGAAUUUGAGCUUUCACAAACUGAAGAUUUUCUGAAGAUGCCAACCACAGUUCAUUCUCCUCCUGAAGAGGCAGAAAGAGAAGAUGCAGAAGUCUUGGAAGACCACAGUCCCCUUUUCAUCACUACUUGGUGUUCUUGCAGUCUCCUAACAGCAGAAGGAAACACCAUCCUGCCUCGGAGCUACUGAAUAGCCACAGCUGAGGAGUGCUGACUCACUGUCCCACCCACAUUACUAAUUGACACUUAAGCAGAUGUUAUGCUUCCAUGUGAACUGUUCUCCCUCCUCUUUCCUCUCCCUGCUCUAGGCCGUUUCCACCAGUCUGAAAAAAAAUCCUGCAAACAGUUCCAGACCCAUGCUGGAAGUACAGCUCCAGUGAUCUCC
rnacentral:lncRNA from 1 species